CGAAAGUAGGUACCGAGAUCCGGGGAAAAGCGUAGGGGGGGAGCGUUAGCAGGAAGUACUGGUGGUAGAGCGUGUGCAGGCGUGUGGUGUAGAGAGAUGUGAAAUCCCCGGGCUUAACCUGGUAAUUGCAUGUUUGACUGCACGUAUAGAGUGUGUCAGAGGGGGGUAGAAUUGCACGUGUAGCAGUGAAAUGCGUAGAUAUGUGGAGGAAUACCGAUGGCGAAGGCAGCCCCCUGGGAUAACACUGACGCUCAUGCACGAAAGCGUGGGGAGCAAACAGGAUUAGAUACCCCAGUAGUC
rnacentral:rRNA from 1 species